rnacentral:misc_RNA from 1 species
GUGUGCAUGUACUUAAGUUAUAAUUUUUCUUUUUGAAACCUAAAGUAUGGACAUUUUUGCAGAAGCGAGUUGUAGUCGUGAUUUUAGAAAUCAGAAUUUCACUUACAAUGAUUUAUUUAAUUUAUUACAAGGAAACGGACCACUAAAUC